CAACGGUAGGUCAGCAUGCCCCGAAUUAUCUGGGCUACACGCGGGCGUACAAUGGGUGGGACAAUGGGUAUCGACACCGAAAGGUGAAGGCAAUCUCCUAAACCCAUCCGUAGUUCGGAUUGUGGGCUGCAACUCGCCCACAUGAAGCUGGAAUCUGUAGUAAUCGUGUCUCAAAAUGGCACGGUGAAUAUGUCCCUGCUCCUU
rnacentral:rRNA from 1 species